GCCCUUCGUGCCAGCAGCCGCGGUAAUACGUAGGGUGCGAGCGUUAAUCGGAAUUACUGGGCGUAAAGCGAGCGCAGACGGUUAAUUAAGUCAGAUGUGAAAUCCCCGAGCUCAACUUGGGACGUGCAUUUGAAACUGGUUAACUAGAGUGUGUCAGAGGGAGGUAGAAUUCCACGUGUAGCAGUGAAAUGCGUAGAGAUGUGGAGGAAUACCGAUGGCGAAGGCAGCCUCCUGGGAUAACACUGACGUUCAUGCUCGAAAGCGUGGGUAGCAAACAGGAUUAGAUACCCUGGUAGUCCACGCCCUAAACGAUGACAAUUAGCUGUUGGGACACUAGAUGUCUUAGUAGCGAAGCUAACGCGUGAAAUUGUCCGCCUGGGGAGUACGGUCGCAAGAUUAAAACUCAAAGGAAUUGACGGGGACCCGCACAAGCGGUGGAUGAUGUGGAUUAAUUCGAUGCAACGCGAAGAACCUUACCUGGUCUUGACAUGUACGGAAUCUCUUAGAGAUAGGAGAGUGCCUUCGGGAACCGUAACACAGGUGCUGCAUGGCUGUCGUCAGCUCGUGUCGUGAGAUGUUGGGUUAAGUCCCGCAACGAGCGCAACCCUUGUCAUUAGUUGCCAUCAUUAAGUUGGGCACUCUAAUGAGACUGCCGGUGACAAACCGGAGGAAGGUGGGGAUGACGUCAAGUCCUCAUGGCCCUUAUGACCAGGGCUUCACACGUCAUACAAUGGUCGGUACAGAGGGUAGCGAAGCCGCGAGGUGAAGCCAAUCUCAGAAAGCCGAUCGUAGUCCGGAUUGCACUCUGCAACUCGAGUGCAUGAAGUCGGAAUCGCUAGUAAUCGCAGGUCAGCAUACUGCGGUGAAUACGUUCCCGGGUCUUGUACACACCGCCCGUCACACCAUGGGAGUGGGGGAUACCAGAAUUGGGUAGACUAACCGCAAGGAGGUCGCUUAACACGGUAUGCUUCAUGACUGGGGUGAAGUCGUAACAAGGGCGAAUU
rnacentral:rRNA from 1 species